rnacentral:rRNA from 1 species
UACAGAGGGUGCAAACGUUGCUCGGAAUCAUUGGGCGUAAAGCGCACGUAGGCGGCGAUUCAAGUCAGAGGUGAAAGCCCGGGGCUCAACCCCGGAACUGCCUUUGAAACUAGAUCGCUAGAAUCUUGGAGAGGUCAGUGGAAUUCCGAGUGUAGAGGUGAAAUUCGUAGAUAUUCGGAAGAACACCAGUGGCGAAGGCGACUGACUGGACAAGUAUUGACGCCGAGGUGCGAAAGCGUGGGGAGCAAACAGG